UACGAAGGGGGCUAGCGUUGUUCGGAAUUACUGGGCGUAAAGCGCACGUAGGCGGACUAUUAAGUCAGGGGUGAAAUCCCGGGGCUCAACCCCGGAACUGCCUUUGAUACUGGUAGUCUAGAGUCCGGAAGAGGUGAGUGGAAUUCCGAGUGUAGAGGUGAAAUUCGUAGAUAUUCGCAAGAACACCAGUGGCGAAGGCGGCUCACUGGCCCGGUACUGACGCUGAGGUGCGAAAGCGUGGGGAGCAAACAGG
rnacentral:rRNA from 1 species